GACGUAGGUGGCAAGCGUUAUCCGGAUUUACUGAGCGUAAAGCGCGUGCAGGUGGUUUGAUAAGUCGGGCGUGAAAUCUCUUGGCUCAACUGGGAGAGGCCGUCCGAUACUAUCAGACUUGAGGGCAGUAGAGGGAGGUGGAAUUCCGGGUGUAGUGGUGAAAUGCGUAGAUAUCCGGAGGAACACCGGUGGCGAAGGCGGCCUCCUGGACUGCCCCUGACACUCAGACGCGAAAGCUAGGGAGCGAACGGG
rnacentral:rRNA from 1 species